rnacentral:rRNA from 1 species
AUGCUCCCAGCCUCCAAACGACCACUCUCCCCCGCUCAGCUCCCACACUCGCCUCCCAUGGCGUCCCUCCUCUUCCUGCCGCGCACGACGCCCACGGCCUCCCCGCGCGCCGCGGCCAGGCCCAGGGCCGGGGCCAUCACCUGCGGCCCGCGCGACAACCGCGGCCCGCUCCAGCGCGGCCGCUCCCUCUCCACGGAGGCCAUCCACGCCGUGCAGUCCCUCAAGCGCCUCACCGCCGCCGACCGCUCCCCGUCGGCCGCCCGCGGCGCGGCCUCCGCGUCCCUCGGCCGCCUCCUCCGGGCCGAUCUCCUCGCCGCCAUGGCCGAGCUCCAGCGGCAGGGCCACUGGUCCCUCGCCCUCGCCGCGCUCCACGUGGCGCGCGCCGAGCCCUGGUACCGGCCCGACCCGGAGCUCUACGCCACGUUCGUCUCCUCCUCGCCGCCCUCCGAGGCCGCCGGCGGCGCCGUGGACGCGCUCGUGGAGGCGUUCCUCGAGGAGAAGGAGGAGCGGCGCGGCGGCGGGCGGCUCUCGGAGUCGGAGGGGCCGUGGGUGGGGGUGGACGUGUACAAGCUCACGAGGCUGGUGCGCGCGCUGGUGGCCAAGGGCAGGGCGCGCGCGGCGUGGCGGGUGUACGAGGCGGCGGUGAGGAGGGGAGGCUGCGAGGUGGACGAGUACAUGUACCGGGUGAUGGCGCGGGGGAUGAAGCGGCUGGGGCUCGAGGCCGAGGCGGCGGAGGUGGAGGCCGACUUCGCCGAGUGGGAGGCCAGGGUCUCGCCGCCGGCGAGGCACCUGCUCGACGAAAUGCGCGCGAGGGAGGAGAGCAACAAGACGACGACGACGGCUUAG